rnacentral:rRNA from 1 species
UACAGAGGGUGCAAGCGUUGUCCGGAUUUAUUGGGCGUAAAGAGCGUGUAGGCGGCCAAGCAGGUCAGCUGUGAAAACUCGAGGCUCAACCUCGAGACGUCGGUUGAAACCGCUUGGCUAGAGUCCGGAAGAGGAGAGUGGGAUUCCCGGUGUAGCGGUGAAAUGCGCAGAUAUCGGGAAGAACACCCGUGGCGAAGGCGGCUCUCUGGGACGGUACUGACGCUGAGACGCGAGAGCGUGGGGAGCGAACAGG